ACCUGCCUGGCUCAAUCAGGGGAGUGUGAGACUUUUGAUCUCAGGGUUGUGGGUUCAAGCCCCACAUUGGGUG
rnacentral:tRNA from 1 species